rnacentral:rRNA from 1 species
GAUGAACGCUGGCGGCGUGCCUAAUACAUGCAAGUCGAGCGAACAGAUAAGGAGCUUGCUCCUUUGACGUUAGCGGCGGACGGGUGAGUAACACGUGGGUAACCUACCUAUAAGACUGGGAUAACUUCGGGAAACCGGAGCUAAUACCGGAUAACAUUUGGAACCGCAUGGUUCUAAAGUGAAAGAUGGUUUUGCUAUCUCUUAUAGAUGGACCCGCGCCGUAUUAGCUAGUUGGUAAGGUAACGGCUUACCAAGGCGACGAUACGUAGCCGACCUGAGAGGGUGAUCGGCCACACUGGAACUGAGACACGGUCCAGACUCCUACGGGAGGCAGCAGUGGGGAAUCUUCGGCAAUGGGCGAAAGCCUGACGGAGCAACGCCGCGUGAGUGAUGAAGGGUUUCGGCUCGUAAAACUCUGUUAUUAGGGAAGAACAAAUGUGUAAGUAACUGUGCACGUCUUGACGGUACCUAAUCAGAAAGCCACGGCUAACUACGUG